rnacentral:rRNA from 1 species
CCUACGGGAGGCAGCAGUGGGGAAUAUUGCACAAUGGGGGAAACCCUGAUGCAGCGACGCCGCGUGAGUGAAGAAGUACUUCGGUAUGUAAAGCUCUAUCAGCGGGGAAGAAAAUGACGGUACCUGAGUAAGAAGCCCCGGCUAACUACGUGCCAGCAGCCGCGGUAAUACGUAGGGGGCAAGCGUUAUCCGGAUUUACUGGGUGUAAAGGGAGCGUAGACGGCAGUGCAAGUCUGGAGUGAAAGGCGGGGGCUCAACCCCCGGACUGCUCUGGAAACUGUAAGGCUGGAGUGCAGGAGAGGUAAGUGGAAUUCGUAGUGUAGCGGUGAAAUGCGUAGAUAUUAGGAGGAACACCAGUGGCGAAGGCGGCUUACUGGACUGUAACUGACGUUGAGGCUCGAAAGCGUGGGGAGCAAACAGGAUUAGGUACCCCUGUAGUC